AACUCAUGUGUACAACUUCGCCAUAGCUAGGAUCUUGCCUCCUCGUACCUACCCCUCAUUCUACUGUGGGUCUUAGAUCCACGACACGCACCGCGCUUGUCUGCCACCACCACCUCCUCUCGCGCUCGCAGGAGCCGCCCCAACGCGAGCUACAGGACGUCCUGUAGAUGGAGACCCGCUCCGCUCCAGUGUCCAGUCUCCGGUGCCGCAAAUUCGCCGGGUCACGACGUGCUCUGUUGUGUCCUGCACACAAUCCCACUCUGCCGAUUUACUCCUACAAGAGAAGAACCUGGACUUUGAGCCCGAGGUGAGUCAGAUCUCGUGUCUCCUUUGGAGAUUGGGCUCCACUCAGUCCAGCAUGUUUAGGAGGAGCUGCUGUUGAGAUUUCUAAGAUUGGUGGUGGUGUCCUGGCGGCGUUCGCAUUGGCGGGGUACCAGAGAGACCCCAGAGAGGAGAACUGGGUGAUUCUUCAAUUGUUUGUUUGAUGGAUGUUUCCACAAUGAACCAGAAAAAAAAAACCUCCAGUUUGACUAAAAUGCAAAAAAGAAGAGAGGACAGGCUGAUUUAUACUAGUAAUUUCCAGACAGACAAGCAAGAGAGGGCAGUUCUGUUAACUUCUUGGUGAAUCCAACUAUCUUCAACACUUCAACUAUACACAGAAGUUUAACCUUUAAACAGAGGUGUGAUCAUAUUGUUGGACUGAAAAAGCAGUUCCGGUUCGUGUUCUGAGUCCACGUGCAGGACAGGCUAAAUUGAUAUAUGGAGCAUAGUGGACUGGAGAGUAUGCAUGCUGGAAGAGAGAAAGCAUCAAAUUUACCAUGCGCAAGUUUGGAGAACAUCAUGGAAGAUUCCUCUUAUGAGCGAAUAAACAGCCAGGGUGUAUCUCGGCAUGUUUACAAGGUAAUUACAGGGUCCUGCGAGGCACUUGAUGUCCAUCCACUCGAACUCCGCUUUCCUUUGGAUUACAACACGUUAAUCCUGUGCCCACUUCACCUAACAAAUAACACAGAUGAACAAGUGGCAUUUAAACUUAUGCCAAAGAGAGGGAUAUAUUCAUGCUUCCGUAAUAUUCCACUGUAUGGUGUUGUGCCGCAGCGGUCUAGUUACACUCUCAUUGUGAUAAUGACACCGCCGGCUAAGCGGUCAGAAGAUACAGAUUUUGAUCUGAUCCUGCAGAGUAUUAAAUUUGGGGAGGGUAUCAUCCAAGGCCAAUGUAAUGACCGAUUUUUUGAGGCAGCCAAAGAGGUGGGCACAGGGAUGCAUGAGGUGACAUUAAAAGCUGUUUCUGCUCCACAAGGAGAGACAAUAUAUAAGCACACCAUCCCACCUGUAAUGAAGGUCAUAUCUGUAGAAAGGGCUCGUCAGGAGCUGUAUUCCAUAGAUGCAAAUCCGGAAAAAUCAUGGAUUAUAAUAGGUCAUUCCGGUGGAUAUGUUCGUAUAUGGGACUAUGUCACACAGAGAUGGAGGGGUUCAAUAGAAAUCUGUAGGGGACCAGUUAACUGCAUUAAAUUUAUUGCUCGAAAGCAAUGGUUUGUGGCUGGGUCCUCUGAUGGUAUCCAUGUACAAGAGGAAGCAAUAAAAAAGAAGAAAAUCCAGAGAUUCAGAGCUCGUGUUAGCUCUGUCACAUCACUGGCCGUUCAUCCAACCAAGCCGUAUGUGGUUUCAUCAUCCUAUGGCGGACUGAUAAAGCUUUGGGACUGGGACAAGGGAUGGGAAUGCAUAACAACAUUUGAAGGGGAACACUCUGAUGUUGUAUGUCAACUCGCAUUUAAUCCAAAUGACACGAACAGUUUCGCUAGUGUGUCGAACGAUCGCACAAUAAAGGUUUGGGGUCUUGAUUCACCCAAAUCCCAUUACACUCUGUCUGGCCAUUCAGAUAAUGUGAAAUGCCUGGAUUUCUUCACACGUGAUGAUGGGCAAUACUUGAUUACUGGUUCUGUUGAUAAUACUGCCAAGAUAUGGGACUUGCAGAAAAAGACGUGCAUUCUUACACUGGAAGUUUUUAGGUCUCCAGUCAUUUAUGUCUUCUCCCAUCCCAAUCUUCCAGUUCUAAUUACAGGUACAAGAAAUGGCAUCAUUUAUUUGUGGAGCUCCACCGAUUUCAGUGCUAUAACCCGAAACACAAGCUGAACCGAGACCUAGCCCCGAACCCUUACCACCAUGUUGCUAGAGGGAUGGGGUAUCUGAAGUUGGUCAUCAUACAUACUCCCUCUGUCCCAUAAUGCUUAGGGGAAUUCUCAACAUCUUACGUGGGGCAGAUGUUAUGGGUCUUGCAUGCUUGAUGGAGUCAAGGAGGGUCGUGAUUGGACAAAGCCACGCCAUAUCUAUAGUGGAUAUUGACGAUGAAGAAACAAUUGGUGGCAAGGGCGACAACGAAAGUUCCAUAUGAGCUAGCUGACCAAUGGCAUCUUUUGGUUUCGGAACAUUGAUCACUAUGGAUUAUGAUCGGACAUAGGGAUGGAUUUGUAAUUAUGGAGGUUAACCAUGAAGGCUUUGUUGGUACGGACGGCAGAGAAAAUUCCACAUGUUAUGAUCAACAUGUGGAGAAAUUAAUUACUGUCCUUGUUGACCAAGUUCAGGCGGAUAUAGAAAAUCAUCGGCACAAGCAUUGGCUACCUUAUGUUCGGUUGUUUCUCCAGGAAGCCUACCAGCUGGCAACCAAGAUUUGUUUUAAGAAGUUGAUGGUACAAAUAGUUUCUCGGUAAUGAUACUCAUUCUUGGUGUAGCGGAAUACUAAUGUGCUAUGCCAGUAUGUAUGUGAUUAUGUGGUUGAAGCACAGUGGUUCAUUUGUAUGUGAUUCUGUAUCCACAUGAUACAUCUUAAGAGUUCACAAUGUAGUUUAUUUGUA